rnacentral:rRNA from 1 species
CAGUCGCCGCGGGAAUACGAAGGGUGCAAGCGUUAAUCGGAAUUACUGGGUGUAAAGCGUGCGCAGGCGGUGAUGUAAGACAGUUGUGAAAUCCCCGGGCUCAACCUGGGAACUGCAUCUGUGACUGCAUCGCUGGAGUGCGGCAGAGGGGGAUGGAAUUCCGCGUGUAGCAGUGAAAUGCGUAGAUAUGCGGAGGAACACCGAUGGCGAAGGCAAUCCCCUGGGCCUGCACUGACGCUCAUGCACGAAAGCGUGGGGAGCAAACAGGAUUAGAUACCCCGGUAGUCCCUGUCUCUUAUAC